UACGUAGGGGGCAAGCGUUGUCCGGAUUUAUUGGGCGUAAAGAGCGUGUAGGCGGCCAAGCAGGUCCGCUGUGAAAACUCGAGGCUCAACCUCGAGAGGUCGGUGGAAACCGUUUGGCUAGAGUCCGGAAGAGGAGAGUGGAAUUCCCGGUGUAGCGGUGAAAUGCGCAGAUAUCGGGAAGAACACCCGUGGCUAAGGCGGCUCUCUAGUACGGUACUGACGCUGAGACGCGAAAGCGUGGGGAGCGAACAGG
rnacentral:rRNA from 1 species